GAUGGAGAUAUGGUGUGUGGGUCACAGUGGGUUUGCUCAAAACACAUUGUCUAUGUUGCUGGAGAGAUGAUUCAGUGGUUCACAAUGCAGACUGUUCUUGUAGAGGACCUCAGGUCAGCUCCUAGCGCUCACAUCAGGUGGCUCACAACUGCCUGUGACUUCAGCACUGUACACCAGUAUUAAAUUCUCAAACAAUAAAAACUGAGAGGAGCCUAAACAAGAUAGUAAUAUUUAACUCUCUUGUAAAAUUCUGCAGAUGCAUCAAACUAUUGUCAUGCCUUGUAGUCUCCUUUCCUGUUGUGCCUGGUUAUGCAACUCUAAUGGUUGGAUUAGGAACAGUUACUUGUAAAUCCAGACUUUGAGGUGGAGAAGAAGCUCCUGAGGAGUUUACAAGGCUACUCCUUGACACAGGGGUGUAGGUUGCAGCCUUUCCGUUUGGUAGUCACGUGUGUAGGUGUAAUUUGGGAUUUAUACCUGGGAAUAAAAGUACUGUAGGAAUUGCUGGGCAACUGGCAGUGCAACAGAGCCGCCCACCUGUGAACUGCAGCUACCCAGGUGGAGCGUCAGCGUGAUUAGCACGGCGUCAUCAUAGCGGGCACCCAUCGUAAAUGUGUUCAGUACGUGGGUGUUCCUGUCGUACCUGACAAGCAUAUAUUGAUCUGAAUCCCGAAUCUUUGCUUUUGUACGUGGUUUGUCCAUCCCGUUGUCACCAACCCUUACAGACAAGCUGUAAGGGAGUAAAAUGCAUGGAAAAUUCACUGGAGUUAUUUUGUUGCUGCACUCGUUUCGCCACUGAUACUUUGAAAUCCAAUCUUUCUUCAUGUGCAUAUGAUCAACAGGUUAUUGCACGUAAAAGAUGCUUAGCAAAUGUUUUAGAUUUAUUAAGUUUUUAAAUUUAUUAAGUAAAUGGAAGCAAAACUUUGAUGAAUGGAAACAUUUGAUUUCCAUAAAGGAAAGUUUAUGUCUGCCACAUACAUAGAAGAUUUUUUUUUUUUUGGUUUUAUAUGUGUACUUAUUAAAAGAUUUGUUUUAGCUGGGCAUGGUAGCUGGGCGUGGUGGCACACGCCUUUAAUCUCAGCACUCGGGAGGCAGAGGCAGGUGGAUUUCUGAGUUUGAGGCCAGCCUGGUCUACGGAGUGAGUUCCAGGAUCAGUCAGGACUAUACAGAGAAACCCUGUCUAGAAAAACCAAAAAAAAAAAAACAAAAAGAAAAGAUUUGUUUAUCUUUUUGACACAAACUUUCUCUGUGUAGCCUUGGCUGCCUUGGAACUCACCCAGAAGACUAGGCUGGCCUCAAACUCAGAAACCUCCCUGUGUUUGCCUCCUGGAGUUCUGGGAUUAAAGGCAAGUGCCACCACUGCCUGAGUGUUGAAAGAGUUUUAGAACUUUGAUUUGGCUUACAGGGGAAAGUGUGGCAAUUCAUUGUAUGUAAUUAUUUGUAGUAUGUAAUUAUUUGUAGCAAAGAUAUAAGCACCAAGUUACCAAAGGAAUCAUUAGGCCAAUCACUAGUAUAAUU
rnacentral:lncRNA from 1 species